rnacentral:lncRNA from 1 species
GAGGCAGCUCUGUGAGCAUAGGGCCCAGAACAGCAAGCGCUCAGUAACUGUCAGGGGUGGAUUUAGAGCCUCAGACCAGUGCAUUCGUGAAUAUCGGGCCUGAAGCAGGAUCCUAAGACCCAUGGCCAUGUACCAGCACCUGGGAACUCAACCUGGGAUGAACCUGCAUCUUAGUCAUUCUGGGAGCCCCGUGGAUCUCACCUAGUGUGACAACAGAUUGAAGGCUCUUUGGGAAAGCUGACUGUAAUUUGGAUAUGUCAUGUGAGGGGACCUGCCCUAAUCCAAACCUGGGCUGAAGCUGCUGCCUCUUCUGUGGUGGUGUGGGUAGGAGAAGAGGUCCAAUAAUUUCUCUUAGACAGAGAUUACACAGUUCUUAUUUUUGAAACAAAUUGACUACAUGAAUAUGUGUUAUCUAUUACCCAGUCAUAAAAAGAUUUUCCCUUCUAAAGCUUACAGUCAUUUCAGAGAAACAAGGUAUCCACAUAAGAUUAGAAAAUGGUAUGUGGUUAAGGGCCAUAGCCUUGGUUCAGAAAAAUGGCCCAAACUUUGUCUUGGAAAAGAGAGGGGUCAUUGAAACGUAGAGCUACUGGAGAUGGUCUCCUAGAGAUGAUGAGAAUUGAGCUGGACCUUGUAAAAUGAGGCAGAUUUGGAUACAAGGUAGAGAGU